rnacentral:rRNA from 1 species
GAUGAAGGAGGGAGGCGUGCAUAAUACAUGCAAGUCGAGCGAACAGACGAGGAGCUUGCUCCUCUGACGUUAGCGGCGGACGGGUGAGUAACACGUGGAUAACCUACCUAUAAGACUGGGAUAACUUCGGGAAACCGGAGCUAAUACCGGAUAAUAUAUUGAACCGCAUGGUUCAAUAGUGAAAGACGGUUUUGCUGUCACUUAUAGAUGGAUCCGCGCCGCAUUAGCUAGUUGGUAAGGUAACGGCUUACCAAGGCAACGAUGCGUAGCCGACCUGAGAGGGUGAUCGGCCACACUGGAACUGAGACACGGUCCAGACUCCUACGGGAGGCAGCAGUAGGGAAUCUUCCGCAAUGGGCGAAAGCUUGACGGAGCAACGCCGCGUGAGUGAUGAAGGUCUUCGGAUCGUAAAACUCUGUUAUUAGGGAAGAACAAAUGUGUAAGUAACUAUGCACGUCUUGACGGUACCUAAUCAGAAAGCCACGGCUAACUACGUG